AUAAUACUCCCUCUGUCAGAAAAUACUUGUCGGGGGAAUGGAUGUACCUAGACAUGUUUUAGUUCUGGAUACAUCCAUUUUUAUCCAUUUCUCCAACAAGUAUUUCCAGACAGAGGGAGUAUUUA
rfam:Triticum aestivum genome assembly, contig: Triticum_aestivum_CS42_TGACv1_scaffold_322714_4BL